rnacentral:misc_RNA from 1 species
AAAAUUCUUGCAAAAAUAAAAGUUGUACAAGUUUAAAUAUAUGUGAACAUAUCAAGCAUACAAACUGUUCAUCAGAACAGAACAUUCAUUAUCAAUUAGAAAAUGCGAAAUCCACAAGUUGAGCACUAAAUUUUCUAGCUUUUAUCUAACUUUAUCCAAAAAUGGGCUUACAAAGAAAGAUUGUAACGAAAUCAGAGUACAAAACCAAAAUGAAUGCUUCAAUGUAAGCAUAACCAAUUCAGUACACAAAAGAAGCAACCAAAAGAGCCAAAUCAAUCCUUACACGAUAAAAUUUUCUCUCUUUAUCAGUGAAUACGCAUGAUAGCAUCGAGAGGGUACUGCAGGGAAGCAAACCUUGUGACGGUCCUCCGGCAGGGAUUCAACGGACGGGAUCUUUCCGGUGAAGGUGGUGAAAUGGCGGGUAAAUUUAGAAGUGAUAAAAACGAGGUGCAGAGAGCGGAAAUAAAGGAAUCGGAAGAAUUGUAGGGUUUCCUCCGCAGCUG